rnacentral:rRNA from 1 species
GAUGAACGCUAGCUACAGGCUUAACACAUGCAAGUCGAGGGGAAACGCCAUCGAAAGCUUGCUUUUGAUGGGCGUCGACCGGCGCACGGGUGAGUAACGCGUAUCCAACCUGCCCAUCACUUGGGAAUAACCUUGCGAAAGUAAGACUAAUACCCAAUGACAUCCCACGAAGACAUCUGAAUGGGAUUAAAGAUUUAUCGGUGAUGGAUGGGGAUGCGUCUGAUUAGCUUGUUGGCGGGGUAACGGCCCACCAAGGCAACGAUCAGUAGGGGUUCUGAGAGGAAGGUCCCCCACAUGGGAACUGAGACACGGUCCAAACUCCUACGGGAGGCAGCAGUGAGGAAUAGUGGGCAAUGGGCGAGAGCCUGAACCAGCCAAGUAGCGUGCAGGAUGACGGCCCUAUGGGUUGUAAACUGCCUUUAUAAGGGAAUAAAGUGGGUCUCGUGAGACUUUUUGCAUGUACCUUAUGAAUAAGGACCGGCUAAUUCCGUG